rnacentral:rRNA from 1 species
CAGCGCCACAAGUGGGGAUCCUGUUUAUUUGGCCUAAAGCGUCCGUAGCUGGUUUAGUAAAUCUUUUGUGAAAUCGUUAAGCUUAACUUAACGGCGUGCAGGAGAGACUGCUAAGCUAGGGACCGGGAGGAGUCAGAGGUAUGCUUGGGGGAGCGGUAAAAUGCUAUAAUCCCUAGUGGACCACCUAUGGCGAAGGCAUCUGACUAGAACGGGUCCGACAGUGAGGGACGAAAGCCCUGGGGCACAAACCGGAUUAGAUACCCGAGUAGUCC